GGGAUUAUAGUUAACUAUAACAUUUAGUUUGCAACUAAAA
rnacentral:tRNA from 1 species